CCGCCGGCCAAGGGGCCCAAGCCGGAGAAGCCCCCGACCAAGGGCCACGGCCACAAGCCGGAGAAGCCGCCCAAGGAGCACAAGCCGACUCCGCCCACCUACACCCCGAGCCCCAAGCCCACGCCGCCGCCGGCUACUCCCAAGCCGACGCCGCCCACCUACACGCCGAGCCCUAAGCCCAAGUCGCCGGUCUACCCUCCCCCGCCGAAAGCCAGUACUCCUCCGACCUACACCCCGAGCCCCAAGCCUCCGGCGACCAAGCCGCCUACCUACCCGACCCCCAAGCCACCAGCUACCAAGCCUCCGACACCUCCUGUGUACACUCCGAGCCCCAAACCACCGGUUACAAAGCCUCCUACACCCAAGCCGACCCCGCCGGUGUACACGCCGAACCCCAAGCCACCGGUUACCAAGCCUCCGACACACACGCCGAGCCCCAAGCCUCCGACAUCCAAGCCGACUCCGCCGGUGUACACACCGAGCCCCAAGCCACCGAAGCCGUCCCCGCCGACGUACACGCCGACCCCGAAGCCACCGGCUACCAAGCCGCCCACCUCAACUCCGACGCACCCUAAGCCGACGCCGCACACGCCUAUCCCCAAGCCCACGCCGCCAACCUACAAGCCGGCACCGAAGCCGACGCCGCCGGCGCCCAC
rnacentral:lncRNA from 1 species